rnacentral:rRNA from 1 species
AGCAGUAGCCACGGUAAUACGGAGGAUCCGAGCGUUAUCCGGAAUUAUUGGGUUUAAAGGGUGCGUAGGCGGAUAGAUAAGUCAGUGGUGAAAGACGGUGGCUCAACCAUCGCAGUGCCGUUGAUACUGUUUAUCUUGAAUAUGGAUGAGGUAGGCGGAAUGUGGCAAGUAGCGGUGAAAUGCAUAGAUAUGCCACAGAACACCGAUUGCGAAGGCAGCUUACCAAGGCAAAAUUGACGCUGAGGCACGAAAGCGUGGGGAUCGAACAGGAUUAGAUACCCCUGUAGUCCCUGUCUCUUAUAC